rnacentral:rRNA from 1 species
GGUGCCAGCACGGGGGCAUACUCACCCCUCUGGCCGUCACUGCCCGGGGACCUGCUUCGCCUAGUAUCAUGGCGCGUUCUGGCGGGCGACUUGAUGGACUAUGUCCGUGUCCGUGCCGUCUGCACAAGCUAGCGAUCCGACACCGUCUGCCCGCGGGGCCGCGGCGUCGGCGACCCACGCUUCCACCUGCGCUGCUGAAUGAUGCUGCUGGAGGGCCACAGCAUCCAUCCCGGCCACAAGAAGCUCGGCGGGCGCGUCCGCUUCCUGAACCUCGACACAGGGACCUUCGUCCGCACCAAGAUCCCGCUAUUCAAGAACCACUACGCCCCGGACUCAGUCGACGGCCUCCUCCACCUCCAGAGGGACGAAGACACCGUCGUCUGUCUCCUUCACCCUUUCACCGGUGACAUCGUCGAGCUCCCGCCGCUCUCCACCCUCCACGCACAGCUGAAGAGGAAUCUUGACAGACUGCCUGAGCAGGACAGGUGGUUCCGCAUCAGAUACGGCAUAUGUGUUGCUGCCUCAUUCAGUUCUGUUGUUUGCACCGUCAUGCUUUUGUUUCACCAUCUACGACAAUUGGCCUUUGCUACCUCCCAGGAUCGGCAGUGGACCAUGGCAAGCUGGGCAGUUCCACCUUGUAUUGAACCCUUCUCAUUCCGUGGCAAGCUAUAUUUGGUGCGUAAUCCCACGCUGACAGGUGCAAUGCAGGUUCUCCAGAUCGAUCCUCCACCCCUGCAGGACGAGGCAGGGGAAUUAGGUUCUCGACAGCCGGCAUUACCUAAGUUGGUAACCACAUGCCCGGCAGACAUUCUCUCAUACCCUGCCUACCUGGUAGAAUGUGACUCGGAGAUCUUGGUUGUCGGCCAUACCGACAGUUCUUUUUCGCACAUUCUAGUUUACAAACUUGCGGACCUUAUGUUGAGAAGGUUUAUCCCGGUGACGAGCAUUGGAGAUCAUGCCCUCUUUAUCGAUGAAAGAACUCUCUAUGUCUCCUCUAAGGCAUUGCCUACCAUCAUGGCCGACUUGAUCAUCUACAGAAAGAUAAAGUCUCGCAAAUUUGCUCAGUAUCACCUCAGGACCGGCACUUGGUCCCAAUCGGUCGACGAAUGCGCUCUUAGAGGCUAUGACCCGGGUCCUCGUAGCCUCAUCCACCAUAUCAUUACCUGCCUCCUUCACAGUGUUUGGUACGUAUGUUCCUUACUUUGUUUUUCUCGACAUUAUUCUCCCAUCAUCAUAAUUGUUCUUAUACCAUCUUAUUUACUGGGCAAGCUAAUAUGUGCUCAUUGUGCCCCUGUAGGAACAAAGGGCUAUUUUAUUCUAAAAAGGAACAAAUGA